CGAGGGGAGUGAAAAAGAACCUGAAACCGUGUACGUACAAGCAGUGGGAGCACGCUUAGGCGUGUGACUGCGUACCUUUUGUAUAAUGGGUCAGCGACUUAUAUUCUGUAGCAAGGUUAACCGAAUAGGGGAGCCGAAGGGAAACCGAGUCUUAACUGGGCGUUAAGUUGCAGGGUAUAGACCCGAAACCCGGUGAUCUAGCCAUGGGCAGGUUGAAGGUUGGGUAACACUAACUGGAGGACCGAACCGACUAAUGUUGAAAAAUUAGCGGAUGACUUGUGGCUGGGGGUGAAAGGCCAAUCAAACCGGGAGAUAGCUGGUUCUCCCCGAAAGCUAUUUAGGUAGCGCCUCGUGAAUUCAUCUCCGGGGGUAGAGCACUGUUUCGGCAAGGGGGUCAUCCCGACUUACCAACCCGAUGCAAACUGCGAAUACCGGAGAAUGUUAUCACGGGAGACACACGGCGGGUGCUAACGUCCGUCGUGAAGAGGGAAACAACCCAGACCGCCAGCUAAGGUCCCAAAGUCAUGGUUAAGUGGGAAACGAUGUGGGAAGGCCCAGACAGCCAGGAUGUUGGCUUAGAAGCAGCCAUCAUUUAAAGAAAGCGUAAUAGCUCACUGGUCGAGUCGGCCUGCGCGGAAGAUGUAACGGGGCUAAACCAUGCACCGAAGCUGCGGCAGCGACGCUGAUGCGUUGUUGGGUAGGGGAGCGUUCUGUAAGCCUGUGAAGGUGUGCUGUGAGGCAUGCUGGAGGUAUCAGAAGUGCGAAUGCUGACAUAAGUAACGAUAAAGCGGGUGAAAAGCCCGCUCGCCGGAAGACCAAGGGUUCCUGUCCAACGUUAAUCGGGGCAGGGUGAGUCGACCCCUAAGGCGAGGCCGAAAGGCGUAGUCGAUGGGAAACAGGUUAAUAUUCCUGUACUUGGUGUUACUGCGAAGGGGGGACGGAGAAGGCUAUGUUGGCCGGGCGACGGUUGUCCCGGUUUAAGCGUGUAGGCUGGUUUUCCAGGCAAAUCCGGAAAAUCAAGGCUGAGGCGUGAUGACGAGGCACUACGGUGCUGAAGCAACAAAUGCCCUGCUUCCAGGAAAAGCCUCUAAGCAUCAGGUAACAUCAAAUCGUACCCCAAACCGACACAGGUGGUCAGGUAGAGAAUACCAAGGCGCUUGAGAGAACUCGGGUGAAGGAACUAGGCAAAAUGGUGCCGUAACUUCGGGAGAAGGCACGCUGAUAUGUAGGUGAAGCGACUUGCUCGUGGAGCUGAAAUCAGUCGAAGAUACCAGCUGGCUGCAACUGUUUAUUAAAAACACAGCACUGUGCAAACACGAAAGUGGACGUAUACGGUGUGACGCCUGCCCGGUGCCGGAAGGUUAAUUGAUGGGGUCAGCGCAAGCGAAGCUCUUGAUCGAAGCCCCGGUAAACGGCGGCCGUAACUAUAACGGUCCUAAGGUAGCGAAAUUCCUUGUCGGGUAAGUUCCGACCUGCACGAAUGGCGUAAUGAUGGCCAGGCUGUCUCCACCCGAGACUCAGUGAAAUUGAACUCGCUGUGAAGAUGCAGUGUACCCGCGGCAAGACGGAAAGACCCCGUGAACCUUUACUAUAGCUUGACACUGAACAUUGAGCCUUGAUGUGUAGGAUAGGUGGGAGGCUUUGAAGUGUGG
rnacentral:rRNA from 1 species